AAGUCGAGGGGCAGCAUGAACUUAGCUUGCUAAGUUUGAUGGCGACCGGCGCACGGGUGAGUAACACGUAUCCAACCUGCCGAUGACUCGGGGAUAGCCUUUCGAAAAGAAAGAUUAAUACCCGAUGGCAUAGUUCUUCCGCAUGGUAGAACUAUUAAAGAAUUUCGGUCAUCGAUGGGGAUGCGUUCCAUUAGGUUGUUGGGCGGGGUAACGGCCCACCAAGCCUUCGAUGGAUAGGGGUUCUGAGAGGGAAGGUCCCCCACAUUGGAACCGAGACACGGCCCAAACUCC
rnacentral:rRNA from 1 species